GAAAUAUUUUACGUAUUUCAUUCUGACACCUAAAUGCUACUUAAAGAAUAAUCUCAACAAUCUUGCAAUUAUUUCACCAUUUAUACAAGUAAAAGUGUAUAAAAACGUACACGACAACCUUCGAUUCGAGGCGUUAGAAUAUCUCGAAGCACUUCAGCACGGUAAUUCACGCAGUAAAGCCUCAUGUAGGAAGUUACGCAACCAGCUUCUCUCAAGCGUGUCUCGAUAAAUUACAUAAUAAAUGUCUCAUAACUAAAUUAUGUAAAAGCGAGCGGUACAACGACGCCAAGUGUAAAUACUCAACUUUGCGAUAAAAAACAUUUUCACGUAUUCUGAUCGUAACCGAACGGAAAUGAAGUUGAAACGAAACGAAAACUAUCUAUCGAAUAUGGACACCUUUUGCGCCCUCUUCUUGUAAAUAUUCAAACGAACGACGAACGGGACCAAUCAGAAUUCGAAACGUGGUUUGAAUGUGGACCAUCGAAUCGACUUUUUUCUCGAUCGGUAAACAAACAAAUUCGUACAAUUCCGCUUCUAGUUUUUGAUCGUUCACGAGUGUUCAAACUGAUAACGAAAACGGUGAAUAAUAAAAAAAAAAAACUAGACGAAAAGAAGAAAAAAAAAUGGUGGACAAAUGGUGAUGUUUGUUGAAAAAUAAAAGAAAGAAACGAGUUGAAUUCAAGUAUUGCGAUGUAACUAGCGGAAUAAAGCAUUGGAGGUUAGGUACAACGAACGAAAGUUGGAAUAAGAGAAAGAUGAGGACAGAGAAUUGAAUAGAAGGAAGAGAGAUAGAUAGUGAAGGCUAAUGAAUAAAACGAAUUAUCUGUCGAGAGCAGAGUGUCCCGUUGAAGGAACAAAUUGCUACGAAUGUGCACGAGAACUAAGUUCCUCGGUCGAUGACAAAUUACGACAAUGCUGGUAAAAAACUGCUAAAACUGGAUGAAAAGAAGAAGAGAAUUGGAGAAUUGAAUUCGAAUGGCAACAAAGGAGAAGGUUGGAUAGGCGUAUCCGUCUUGUUUUUCCUUGUGCUUUUUUUUCUUGGAUGACAAAACCAAUCCGAAUCGCAUUUCGGUAUUGAAUUAAACUACUUUCUUCUCUUCUCGCAUAAAAGAAUGGUCGAGAUUCGAACGAAGAAUCCGUUUGAGAUUUGUAUAAGUGUUUUUUGUACUUGUUCUCGGAAGCAGAAUUAAUCGAUUGGUUUAAAUCGCUUUUUCGAUCGAUCGUUGAUAAAUCAAUGAAUUUGUAAGCAGAUUUUUUUAUCGUCGAGAAAAGUAUUUUCUUUUGAAAUAUCAUUAUCGGUUGAAAGUUUGAUAUUGAAAGAUUAUUCGAUGGACUAUGAAAGUAUUGAAUCAGCGAAUUUACUUACAGAAUAACAGCUAGGAAAUGUAAAACUUUAUGCAAAAGAAAACCGUACGGGACAAUUGUCUAGAUAGAUGCAUCAGACUAAUGUUUUUUCCGUGUGCAGCCGCUUCUCGUUGUCGACGUGAGAAGCGAAGUGCCUUCGACUUCAGGUUCACUGCCAUGAGCAUUAUUACGCAAGAAGAGGCUAUGUUCGUUCCUCCUGUUACGUCUUAACCGCACUUAAUUAAUCGCCUAAUUGCCGACCUGCCAAUUAAACGACCUCUGGUGUCGGCACGAGUUACACUCGUCGGAUCAAUUUUCUUUGACUUAUGUAUAUUUUAUGGAAAAACACCACUUUCGAUCAAUUGGAAGUGAAAUCUCUGUGAGCUAAUGGUCAGCAAUGAGCAGCGACAAUUUUAAACUCGUUAAACGUGAAAUGAGAAAAAUCCAAAUGUCUCGUUUUUAAUGCAAAUUAUAGGAGUAACAUUUAACGAUGUAAAACAAGAAAAAAAUAUGGAAUGACGGUAAUUAAACGACAUAUAAACUCGACGUAUUAAAAUCCUUUUACGGUGCAACACAUUGGUGAAAAUCAUGCACACGUAGACGUCAGGCAACGUUAGUUUAAUCUGAAAGAUACCGGAAACUGAAAGUACCGGGUAUAUCCCACGUUCGAUUCAAUGGAGACUUUAGCACGACCUUAAGCCAUAUACUUCGUAUUUCUGUCUGCUGAAUGAAUCUGAUAUCAUGGCACGGCAAUUAAUUGGAGUCGUUGAAGGAGCUCAGGUUAUUGCGAGAAGCUGGAACUCCCCCAGGAAAGUAUAGCUUCUAGUUAGGUUUAAUCUGAAAUUCUGGAAAGCACAGUAUAUUCGCACCGCGUAACGAACCCGCAUUAAUUAAGUUCCGCUUCCGUCCGCGAACGGAAGUAACGAAGAAAGUUCGGCGGCCAGUUAGUCCUCCCUCUGCAAUGCGAAUUUCACUACCAAAUUUUCGCCUUAUACAUCAGGUUCUGAUACAAUUUUUAGAAAAACAUAUAGAUUAUUUUAAUGUAGGUGAUCAUAAAUGGCACUUAAUAUCAUAUAUCAUUCAUAAUAUUUCAAGUCAUAAAAUUUAUUUAUUUAAAUUACAGAUAAAAUCCAAAAAUUUAAAAGUAAAAGGACACAAGAAUUCCAAAGAUACAAAGAUUUAAGGAUUUAAAGAUUUAAACAGAUCUCAAGAUUUAAGGUUCAAAUAUUUCAAAAUUGAAAAAUUCAUAAAUUCAAUGAUUCAUGAUGCAAAAAUUCAGACUUUCUGAAAAGAGUGGUUAUCGAAUUUGCUCUCAGUUUCAGAAUUCUAUUAAAAAAAGAAAAGAAAUGAAAAGGAAGAAUUAGUCAUAACUAAAUCUUUCAGUAAAUCGAGCAACUUUCGAGCGCUAUAUCAACAUUCAUAAACAUUAAACGCUAUAUACGAUGAAUAUUUUUCAGGUUCAGAUCGUCGAACAGUCGAUAGUUCAAUAUUACCAUUUCAUCAAAACCUCCAACCCGAUAUUCCGCGUAUUCGUCCGGUCUUCGUGAUGUUUGCGUGGAAUCACGAUUUAUAGCCAUGGAUGUAACGUUAUUUAACUGAAAAAUGUUAUUUACGUUCGUACAAAGUAGACAUAUACGUACGUUGUUGCUGUUUGUUAUCAACAUGCGUCGAAAUCUAAUAUUUGGCCAACGCGUGUAUCGACGCGUUGGAUCGACGUUUCUGCGAUUGUUCCACGUAAAAGUCAGCCAAUCUCCAAACAAGUUUUCCAUUUUUACGAUCGAUAUCGAAAUUUUGAAUUUGUAUCUGAUAAAGGUUCGAUAAAAAUUCUUCGAAAUAAUUGUGAAAACUAUUAAAUUUUACGAAAUUAAAAUUAAUCUUAUAUCAAUAUACGAAGGCUAUAUAAUGAAAAUAUACGAAGACUUUCAGUCAAAGUGUAUCAAAGUAUCAUUUUUAAAUGAAGCUAUAAUCGAAAUAUUAAUUUUAAAGGUACUAAAAGAUCAAAAGUUAUUUCCAUAUGAAAAUCAAGUACAAAAGAUAACAGUUUAUUUUAAUUCUUAUAAGCACAUCUACAAAUAUAGAAAAACUCUUACAUCAUUAAAGGAUAAAAACUGUAAUCUUAUUAUAAUUUAUAGUUACCUAUAACGUAAGAAUACCUGUGAAUAAAUUACAGUGUAAAUCAACUCAAUUUAACACAACUUUCAUUGCAACUUUCUUCGACUUACAUCACUCUUGUUUUCAACAGCUUACGUAAAUCUUGUAACUAUCCAAGACAAGAAAUACGUAUUGUAUUGCUAAUAUUUUUAACGUCAUAAAAUACGAUGACGGGUAUUAUUCCCUUAUUUUUUUUUUCCAAUAUAGGGAAGCAGUAUAUAUAUUUUUUUAUAGUAAUGGAUCAUGAUUUAAGUGACACAGGAGGACGAACCGUAUCUUCGUAAUUUAAUAGGGGUGGCUAGUGUGGAAUUCAUGACCUGGAAUUUCAAAGGAAAACGUAUAAGGUUUAUCUCAGCAAUUUUUCAUGGGUAAUGCCCGUGUUGAAAGUUAGAACGAAUUGAAGUGUCACGAAGUAACGAUACGAAUAUUAAUGAAUAUAUCACGAUAUAUCGAUAUACAUACAUGAAAAUUGAAUUUUUUUUCAUUUAUCGCCGUACGAACGAGAAUGAGUAUAUUCGAGAGAGUAUGUGUUUGAAUAUGGUAUUGAAAAAAAAAAAUUCGUGCAAAAUAAAAUAAAAGAAUAAAAUAAUAAUAAAAAUGACGAAGUAAAAAUAAUUUAUAAAAUUUUUAACUUUCAAUAAAAAAUGAAAAAUUCACUGUCAAAAUUGAUUGUAACUUAUGAAAAUAUUAAAAUAUUGCAUAAUUGAUAAAAUUUCGUAGCGAGAUUUGAUUAAACGUUUUACGUAAUAAAAUGGAAAAAACUUCACAUGUUUAUAAAUAAUAUUUUCAAGCUUGUUUUUUAAUUAUUUUUUGUUAUUCUAUAUUACACAAUCGAUAUUACAUAAUAUAUAUAUAUAUAGUGGUCUCGAUUUAUUUUUGUGGGAAUUAUUAUGCACUGAUUAAUAUAAUUAUUCAAGAAAGGGAUUAAUAUGUUAUUUAAAUAUUAAAAUAAAAUUAUAUCUUAUUUUAGUAUUACAUUUUACUUAGUAUUCAAUAAAUUAUAAUAAUAAAUAUUUCGAUAUUUUUCUAUAUUAUUUUCUUUGAUGAUUAUUGUAAUACCUAUUUAUCUUUUGGAAAAUAUAUUAGCUUCCAUUCAUUCAUUUUAAUUAUAUUAAAUAAUUAUCUAACUUACAAUUCUUUUAAAAUUAGAUAUAAUUAUUUAAAAUUAUUUGUAUAUCGUUCAGAAUUUAAAAAAAUAUAAUUCUUCCAUUCCACUUUUAAUUUAAAAAAAAUAUCAAAAUCGAUAUUUAUAGAUUAUAAAAAAUUAUGUUUUCUUUAUCGUUUAGAUAUCGAAUUUUUUAGAUUCAAACAUUUUUAAAUCUUAUAUUCAUUAUAUUUCUUUAAAAAUCCUCUCGAUCUUGACAAUUAAAUCCCCAUUUAUCCCCUAAUUCGAUCUCGAUUUAAACACAAAGUGUUUCGAGCAUCCCUCCCUCUCUCCUCGUACCAAAUUCCUAUACAAAACUCAUGCGUAUAAAUCCUCCGGUAAAACCUCCACUAAUCUGGCACAAAGAAACAUUCCCGCACGCUCCAUCCAGCCAACUACAAAAAGUAAAAGAAAAAAAGAAAAAAAGUAAGAAAGAAGAAAGCAAGAAGAAAAGAGGGGAAAAAGAGGCGGACAAUUACACGAAACGGCUAGUGGUAAUAAGAGAAGCCAUUAAGGCACCCACCCCUGCGAAUCGCAGAUUCCUCGAGCCGGCUCGCGGAACUAUUCCACCGAGAAUUUAUUCUUAGCAGCCGCCUGUUAGUCCGCGUUUUCCACGAUUCCCUCGAAAUUCUUCGAGCCUUCGACCUCGUCGAAAACCUUCUCCACGGAAAAAUUUUUAUUCUCUACCUCGCCUUAUCGCGUUCCUCUCCUCGAUCACGUCCUCCAUUCUCUCUCUCUCUCUCUCUCAUUCUCUCCGCCUCUCUCGUACUCCGCUCUGCGUACACAUUCGAGACCCUGGUCUCGUACCAAGUCAAUUACUGGUUACUCGGUUACUCGCCGAUGCGUUGUUGCGCCGAAGCGUGGAGAUGCCACUCGCGCGGACCCGCGCGCGGACGUUACGUAUACGCGGGGCGAUACGCCGCGUAUCGUAAUUCGCAAUUUGCCCGAGCAUUCACCUUCGAAUUCCCGUUACUCACGUUCCGUAUCGUCGUCCUACACUCGACACCCGGGGCACCGCUCCGCGAAAUGGCUCGCGUGAUCGAUGCAGUUUUUCCUUUAUUUCACGUGGCAAGUAUCGUGCGCGAGAUGGAGAUUUCGAGGAGCGAAACGGAGUAAGGGGUGAAUUUGGAUAAGUGGACGGAUGGAUGGAAAAUCUGCAGCCCAGAUCGGGUGGCGGAGUGAAAUUGAGAUUCGAUUAAAUUUUUUUCACGUUUUUUUGUUGAAUAUGUAAAGAGGGGACGGCGAAAGGGAGGAUUAAAAUAAAUAUGUGAAUGAGUUUCGCGAUGCGUCGAGAAGUGAAAUGGUAGAGGAUUUAUUAUAGAAUCUGAUAAUUAUGAAGAUAUGGGUAUUUCUAUCAUAUGUAUCGAAUAGAAUGGGAUCCAUUCCAUAUUUAUCUGUGUUUCUCAUCAUUUUUUUUUGGUAAAAAGGUAUUGAUGUUUGUUCAAAAAUCUAUUAUUAGUCGUUAAAAAUUUCUCAUCAUUUUUGAUAACAGUUUUUCAAAAAAAUUAAAUUUCUGUUUAAAAGAUAAUUAUUUUAUCCGAUUCUCAGACUGAGAAUCGAUUAUUCCUUUUCUCGUUAAUUUUUUUGUCAAUUCUUAUUUAUAAAAUUGAUCUUGACUGCUCUAAUUGUAUAAAACACAUAACAAUUAACUUAUUAUAAUCUUCCAAAAGUAUUCAAAUAAUUCUUUUUUUAAUUUUGACAAAAAAAUACUUCGAUCUCUCCAUCAUUUUAAUCGAUUUUCUUUACACACAAUCCAUCGAAAUUAAAUUCAAUUUAGAAACGAAUAAAAAUAUCAAAAAAAGUCACGUUUCUAUAGAAAAAAAAAAAUGAUAAUAAAACUGAAAAUUCGGCCGAUACACUAAAAAUGUUCCCCGUGAUAAAUCAUCUUUAAACGGCAGAUAUUAAACGUAUGCGGUCGCUGAUCCUCCCAGGCUAUCCUUUUCCGUGUCGCACGAUUGUUGCUACUCCCAAGCUGGCAAUUAAUUCUUACCGACGCCGGCGCUUUGUAAUCACCGCUUAAUGGACACGCCGCUAUUUAUCGCCGCCCGGUUUAUAAUUAAACACCGUCCACGAGCCGAUCGGUUGCCUAAUGCGAGUAGACGCGGGAUGUAUUUAUUGCCAGCACACAAUUCUCUCGGUUACUCUGAAGCGAAAUUUUUGCUAUGUCACCACGACCUCCUAUUUAUGAAGUUCUCCGAUCGUGUCGUAAUUUUAAUCUUGGAAAAUUAAUCAAUUUUCCUAGCUCCUCUUGGGACAGUUUCGAUGAUGUCUGUCUUUGGGAAAAAAUAAUAGAAUAAAUGUAAGAGUCUAUGAAAAAUUGAAAUAUCGUUGAAAUUAAAAUGAUUGAAUUGAUGCAAAAGUUUAAAAUUUGAAAAGUUUUUAAAGUUUUUGACAUGUAAAUUUAACGAUAAGCUUGGAAUGUUGUAACGUUAUAAGAAAAUUGGUUAUAUGGUUUGGUAACACAUGAUAGAAUGUGAAUUUUAUACGUAAAGAUUCUUUUGUGUUAUAUCUGUAGAGUAUAUCGAAUGCAUUGUAUUAAGCGUUUGAUUAAUUAUACGCUUAUACUACUGAAAUCGACUCUUGAUCUUCUUAUUAGAAUUACACUUUUUCUUCUCCUUUUUUUUUUUAGAAAUAGUUUUUAUAUGUGAAAUUAAAGAUAAUUAAGUAUCUGAUUGUGAAUUUGGAAUUAAUAUUUUUUUAUAUGCAUAUAGAUAAUGUUAUCUGUUUUAUUUUAAAAUAUUAAUUUUUAUGAAAAAAUCAUUUAUAUCACAGUAUAACUUCUUUCCAGAAAUAAAAACUGAUAUUUUUCGUAAAAAUAGUAACCGAAAUAUAAUUAUUUAUGAUCAAUUAUUUAUAUUAUAUUACUAAUGAUUCAAAAUUUAAUCUAUCUAGAGUUCUUUAAUGUGUAUUAUGAAGCUAUAAAUAUAUAUAUUCUCUUCGAUCGAAUUUCAAGAGUUCAAAAUAUUGUUAAAUCUUUAAUUAAUUACUUACGAACUUUAUGUAACUUUAUACGAUAAAAUUAGUUAAAUAAAAUUUAAAUGAAUAAUAAAUGAAUGGAAAUAGAUAAGUAAAUUUAUAUUACAAGAAUAACUUGUUGUUGGAUUGGAAUAUCUGGAUUAGUCAACCUAGUGACUUUUUCUUUCUAGGAUAUUUGAUACAUUGAACUUUUAUUACAUAAUUCGUAAAAUUAAAAUGUUACGUACCUAGAAAUACAUAUACAGAUCUUUCUUGUACAAGUUGUACAGAUUUUGUGCAUAGAAUUUUAUAUAUCGAAAGAUAUUAUAAUGAAACAACGAUAACAUUUUGCCAUUCUAAGAUAAGAUAUAAAAUUUCCAAAUGGUUGGUGAAAUAUUUUUUUUAGAAUUUCGUAACAUUUCGAAAGCAUAAAACAAAACACGGGAGAAAAAUACACGAGCACGGCAAGGAACAUGAAACUUUCCUUGGGAAUUGCAACGACAUGCACAAGAUUGUAUAAAUUAUCGAUGUACUUUAACCAACGAGUUGUUCUCAACACAUAGUUUAUAUAAUCCUUUGCAUUACACGAUGAAGAAUAAAUUUCUCCGCAAUCUAAUCUCGUUUUUUUUCUUUUUUUUUUUACACAUCUCGACUUUAAAUAUCGUAUACAUUGCUUGAUAUAAAUAGAUAUGCCCGGUUAGAACAUCGUGUUAAGUAUCCUCUCACCAAAGAAAGACAAAAACGGGUAGGAAAUCACAUGGCAUUAAGAAAAGCCAUUAAGUAGGUUCAGAGAGAAAACCAUUUCUCUUUUGACCCCAUCGAUCUAUUCGAACACGCAAUCUUAAACAUAACCAUGUAUUUAUUUAACUUUCAACGAUAUAACGACGUUUUCAUAGUCGCAAAAUAUCUCACUAUUUUUCUAGUAAAUGCCGUUAAAUUUUGAAUUUCAUGUAUUGCAAAAAAUCUAAUUUAAUUAGAAAGAAAGAGAAAAAAAAGAAAGAGAAAAAAGUAUAUUUUCGUUAUAUUCGUUAUAAUUUAUUCAUCCAUAAUUUUGAUACAACGUUCAAUGCUUCCGCUUGGGCAAUCCGGACCUUGCAGUAACAUUUAGCUCCGAACGAAGCGAACUUAUUAUUUAUUCAGAGAACUCGAUAUUACGUUAAGGUUCGAGCUCUCGCUUUUAAUGGCGCUAUUGUUUGAUUCCUUCCAGAUACGUGCCUCCCUUUUUUUCUCUUCUCUCGACUCGUGAUGAACGUGUUCACUUAUCUCUUCCUUCGCGUUAUGUAACACCGAAAGGAAAGAAUGGUGGGUAACCGAAAAAAACCGAGAAAGCGAGAGAGAAGAGUGUUUCGAUUCGCCAAACGAUGAACCAUUUCAGGUUGGUCGAGAAGGAUCGAUUCCCAGCAUAACGAGAGAGCAACUUUCUACUCACGGUACUCGUAUAAAGUUCAACUCCAUGUUUGUAAUUUGCGGUUUGCUGCGCGCGCAGCAAUCAGAUCGGUAACGUGGACCGCUAAACGAUCUUACGAGAAGAGCAUCGGCUAUUCUCGUCCUUUCGUUUGCGUGAAAACUGAAAUGGCGGAACGGCUUUCUAAUGUAUCACGUGGAAAGAAAGAAACUAGAAGAUUAUAGUGAAUUGCGUUCUCUCGUGUUUUUGUUCUCGAAACAAGAAUGGAAAUUAAAAAUUGUGCUCAGUAAAGAAUAUACGUGGGACGUAACGAGCGAUUUAGAACGAUAAGAAUAAUUUUUUCGAGAGAAGGUUAUGUUUGAGAUAAGAUUGUAAUAAGUGAUGAAUGUAAAUGAAUAUAAAUGAAAUCUCGAAUUGUCAAAUUGGAAAAUAUAUAGAUCCAUGUGUUGAAUAAAACAAUAUUUUAUCUAUGGAUAAAUAAAGGAAAAAUGAUAAAGAUGGAUGACAAAUUUCUGCGAGGAUUCGAUGAAUGAACAGCGACAUUAUUCACGUUACCUCGAGCGUGUCUAUAUAAUUUCUCAUUUACACAAUGGUGCACGAGCGAUACAUUUGCACCGUGUUGCAGCAAUGCAACUCUACUUUAACAUAUCGAUUCACGUACGUCGAAAGUUUCAGAAGGCCACAGCAAUACGAUUGAACGAGCAAAGCCUCUAAAAGAGACGAGAACUUUUACACGAAUUUAAACUUUCCAUCAAGGUUACGCAUAUUAUUAAUUUUUCUAGUAAAGCUUAAACAUAUUGGUGAAACCGAAGUAUAGAUGUUUUUAUGCAUUCAUGAGAAAUACGAAUAUACAAAAAUGGAUAUCUUCGAAAGAGUUUAUUUUAUCGAUUCGCAACGAAUGUAUGAUUAUUCUCAAUGCCAUGGUAUACCUGCAUGUGCAUAAACUAACAGCCAUGAAUAAAAUAACUUUCAUGAUAUAAUUAAAUAUAGAUAGAUGAUAUAACAAACACGAACUUUUCCUCUUCCCCCUUAUAACUGUACAUACAAUACAACUAACAACGAAUUUUGAUAUUUCUCCAGGCAUCGCAUGACUCCCACUGCUUCCCAUUGCAUUUCAAAUGUAUCAAAAUAAAAACAAAUUUGAUUACAUUUAAAGAGAGAUGUUAUUUUACAACAUCAAACGUACAAUAUUUCCAACUUUUCAACCUCGCAAUCAAUUACCACGUAACGAGUCUCGUCAAUAUCAUUUACCGCAAAAUAAAUUUUUCCAUUAUAAUAAAUUUAAUUACACUUGCCGUCCAAUAGGUCAAUCCAAAUUUGUUCGUUUUUCGAUAGAACGAAGAGGAUCCCGUCGUUUUGAUGAACAACGAACCGAUCAAAGGUCGAUCCUCGAUCGGUGUUAAUGAAAUUAGCGGGCGAUGGCCGAGGGAUAAGGCGCUGUGCAGAGCGGAAAACGCGCGGAAGAGUCGGCCCAGUCGGAUACCUGAUAUCGGUAUUAACUCGACCAUAAAGCAUUCCGCAGGCCCCGUCCACAAAGUGAUUGCGAUUGCGCCUCGGGCAUUACAACGCGCAGAUUUAUGAACAGGGGUUGCCUACGAACAAAAAUUGAGAAGGGGAUAGGAUAAGGGUUUCGUUUGUGAAAGAAGAACGAAGGGAGUAAUGAUAUAUGUAUAUGUAGAAGGGAUGCAUGUAGGCGAUGAAGAAUGGUAAUGAAGCGGAUCUAAAGAGGAUCUCAAACGAUUCUGCCGAGAGGAUUCCGAUCCAAAUUGCCAGAAUCCUUCGAGUCUGGAGGGUGUUGGAGACGUUACAAAAUGCGUUCCGCAAUGCAGACACCGCGGAACCUUUGUUCACCUCGAUGCCAGCUGUGCGAAGUGCCAAGUAAAAACUGAAUAUUUGUCGCCUUAAUAUGUCCAAUAAAUAUGCUUCAAAUUGUGAGAAAAGACGCAGGGGAUGAAAAGCAAGGGGAGUAUUCGAUUUAUCACAUAUUCAAAAUAAUUUUAGAUGAAGUGAAUUUUAAUUACCGUCAAUAAUUACCGUUAAAAUAUUUGCAAUAUCUCAUUUAAAUAAAGGCAAAAAAAUCACUAUA